GAUGAACGCUGGCGGCGUGCCUAAUACAUGCGAGUCGAGCGAACAGAUGAGGAGCUUGCUCCUCUGACGUUAGCGGCGGACGGGUGAGUAACACGUGGAUAACCUACCUAUAAGUCUGGGAUAACUUCGGGAAACCGGAGCUAAUACCGGAUAAUAUAUUGAACCGCAUGGUUCAAUAGUGAAAGACGGUUUUGCUGUCACUUAUAGAUGGAUCCGCGCCGCAUUAGCUAGUUGGUAAGGUAACGGCUUACCAAGGCGACGAUGCGUAGCCGACCUGAGAGGGUGAUCGGCCACACUGGAACUGAGACACGGUCCAGACUCCUACGGGAGGCAGCAGUAGGGAAUCUUCCGCAAUGGGCGAAAGCCUGACGGAGCAACGCCGCGUGAGUGAUGAAGGUCUUCGGAUCGUAAAACUCUGUUAUUAGGGAAGAACAAAUGUGUAAGUAACUAUGCACGUCUUGACGGUACCUAAUCAGAAAGCCACGGCUAACUACGUG
rnacentral:rRNA from 1 species